CAGUAGCCACGGUAAUACGUAGGUGGCAAGCGCUGUCCGGAAUUAUUGGGCGUAAAGGGCUCGCGGGCGGUUUCUUAAGUCUGAUGUGAGAGCCCCCGGCUCAACCGGGGAGGGCCAUUGGAAACUGGGAAACUUGAGUGCAGAAGAGGAGAGUGGAAUUCCACGUGUAGCGGUGAAAUGCGUAGAGAUGUGGAGGAACACCAGUGGCGAAGGCGACUCUCUGGUCUGUAACUGACGCUGAGGAGCGAAAGCGUGGGGAGCGAACAGGAUUAGAUACCCCCGUAGUCCCUGUCUCUUAUAC
rnacentral:rRNA from 1 species